UCGGAUGUGGUGCACGGCGCACGCCCGCUCUUCGUAGAAAUCGAAGGAGGACUGAAGCGGGAGGAAGUGGCCAUGGGUUCGACUCCCAGCGUCCGAA